GUUGUUGGGGUCAUGCUUCCACAGUUAAAAGAGCUGUGUGUAGCACAGCUGCUCCCUGUCUGCUUCCUGGCUACCCCUGUCAUCCUGUAUAUGCUCCACUAUCCAUCAACUUCUUCAUAUACAAGACCAGUGAGCCACCUGACCUUAGCCUGUGAACCUACAAAACUGUGAGCCAAAGAAAACCUUCCUUCCCAAGUUGCUCCUCACAGCUGAGCACCACAGAUGGAAUCUGAGUCAGUCCUUAGCUUGUCAGGCAGGGACCUCUGUGCCUGGGCUUUGCAACAGCAGGUCAGAGACACAGCAGGACUAAGAUUUGGCCCUCACUUAUACUCCUCUCCUGGUAUGGAAAGUGACUACUUGGGAGCAGUUAUGUCAGGUGCAGAAUGGCAGUUUGUCAUCUCACAUCAAACAUAAUGGAUCUGAGAUACAAAAUCAGAGAAGCCUGGCAAAGACUUUGAGAAAUAGAACAAAACAUGAGUCCAUAAGCUGUUCCAUAAACAUGCUUUUAUAGAUGGCUGCAGAAUAGGAUGUUACGGUUACUAGAUGUACUUUUGGAAGUGAAUUUAGAAAUGCAGUCGGCCUGGUGCACUAGAACGAAGAGCUAAAAUCUAUGAGGGCUGUGGAAAGCUGAGAGUAUCCUUAGAAACAAUAGAAUUAAACAUAGCCGACUUCAUUCCUCUAAACAGAGGAGCAAAGAAAAUGGGACAGCCUAUGUUGCCUUACUCUGAACUUCUGAAAAUCCUGUCAAGGCCUAAAAGAUUAGAAUCAUCAGCCUGAAAAGAUUCAUUAGGUAGGGAGCAACUAGGGUAAAAACUACCCAUGAAGUGAAGAGCUGACUGUGGGGUUUAAAGAAAUGAAAAGGAUUUUUUUUUUUUUUAAAGAUACCAGAAAGCUUAGGGACUAUGAGAAAGAAGCUGUAAGUGAUGAGAGCUAUCAAAGAACAAUGAUCACAGGGAAGCAGACAUCAGAGAAGGUAAUACCUUUCUCUAAUGGCAGAGAUUUUAAUGGGGAAGAAAAAUGAAGAACAUUCGGAAAGAAAACCUGCUGAACUGAAACAAUGCUUUUCCCACUAAGGUCAUAGACUGGAUCGAGUGGUGUGAAGUCACUGAUGUAAUGAGAUUGUGGAACUGGAAGAACAGUUAUCUGUGAGGCCAGCUUUCGGCUCCUGAACCUGUUUGCACAGACAAAUGGUCAGAGCACAUCAAGGGAAGUAUCAUCCGUGACUAAGGAGACAGGCCCGGAGACAGGCCUCACCAGACCCGGAACUUGCAGGGGCCCGGAUCUGGGACUUCCCAGCCUCCGGAAGCUUGAGGAAUAAAUUUCUGCUGUUUGGAAGCCACUGAAGCUAUGGUGUUUUUUAUAGCAGCCCAAAUGGACUGAGACAAAAAUGAUGCACAGUAUCUUUAAAAUUAAGCAAUAAAAAACAGAACCAAGGAAAUCAACGAACACAAGGCACCCAUUUGAUGAGAUUCUCAUGACUGAAAAGUGAACAGAGUGUGACUAUUGUCUCAUAAUAACCCCAGGUGAUGGGUGGCAGCCGUCCGAACAUGAGGCUGACGGAGGUGGCUCCUGUUCUACCACACUAGCUGUUGGCAGGCUAGCAGCCAGCUCCGGAAGGAUGGUGGAAGAUCACGCAGUGCUACGGACCACCCCACGUGGAGGCCGCUGCUCCCUCCUCUGCACUGUUAGAACUAUUCCCUGGAACUUGCAAGGUGGUGGCAGCAGGGCCUUGGGUUUCUGGGUGGAGGGACUUCUGGCGGUGGAAAGCACCCUGCCCACACCUGCUCUCCAGGUGAGUGACUUGCCUGAGUGCAGGAGCUGAGCUAGGCCACGGAGGGUGAGUCUCCCCCUUCUACCCUCCUUUUGUUGGGACAGUGCUCCGAGUUCAGCUGGGCCUGAAAUUGACCUGCAGGAUCUCUUGCUGAAUGAGUCUUUCCAACUCAGGCCUAAAGCUGACAUUUUCAUCUCCAUAACUCUGAUGCCUGAGUCACUCUUUCAGUUCCAUCUGAACUCCUAGAAGGAAAGCGCUGGUGUUACUAGAGGCGCUGAGACCCUAGAUUAUAAGACGCUGCUCUAUAUCACACAGUACAUGGAUACAGGGAAUCCAGGGGAGGAGGCUCCAUAUCCUUGCUAUUUCAAUUCCGUCCUCCCCCCAAAAAACCUGUACACAAUCUGUUGUCUUAGUCUCUUAGAUCCAAACUUGUUAUACACAUUGCCACCUGGGCGGCCCGCUUUCCUCACUAGGCAGGCGCAGCGAUCUGCAGUAAUUGCUUCCGGAUUUACACUGCUCACGGCAACUCUGCUAAAUGCUCAGUAGGAAGCAUCUCGACUGUGUGUGAGAUGCAGUGAGGAGCCAAGUCAGGCUGAAUCCCUGAAGUCCUUGCAGUCUGCCCAGGGGGUUCCGCUGCUUUUCCUACAGGUGCAUGGUUCUGUGGAGCCUGGGCAGGAGUGGAGAUGCAGAGCACUGCCCGCAGCAGCUGUGACAGCAGGGACAUUAACGAGUAGACAAAGAGACAGGAAAAUAAGUUUGAAAAAGCUACAGUUGCCUAUGCAAAAAAACACUGCAAUUCCAUCCACAGGUAAUUGGAAGAGAAAUUUUAGGAGGUGAGUUUCUAUGUCCUGCGGCUUAAGAGCUAGAAGCAGUGUGAUUUAGGUUGUUAUCAACGUGACCCCAAUUUGAUUCAUGAGUUGGCAAGGAUAAGAGAAAGGUGGAGAGCAGUAAAAAUUGUCAUUGUGAUAUGUUGGUGCUGUAAUUCUGGGUAUGAAUUCAAUUGGGAACAUUAUUAUGAGUUCUUCUGCUUAGAUUUGAACAUAACUUUU